GGAGAGAUGGCAGAGUGGUCGAUUGCGGCGGUCUUGAAAACCGCUGUACCGCAAGGUACCGGGGGUUCGAAUCCCUCUCUCUCCGCAA
rnacentral:tRNA from 2 species